rnacentral:rRNA from 1 species
AUACGGAAGGUCCGGGCGUUAUCCGGAUUUAUUGGGUUUAAAGGGAGCGCAGGCGGAGAUGCAAGCGUGACGUCAAAUUUCGGGGCUCAACCCCGUCUCGCGUCGCGAACUGCGUCCCUUGGUUGCGGGAAGGGGAGGCGGAACUCGUGGUGUAGCGGUGGAAUGCAUAGAUAUCACGAAGAAACCCGAUCGCGAAGGCAGCCUUCCGGCCCGUCAACGACGCUCAUGCUCGAAGGUGCGGGUAUCAAACAGGAUUAGAUACCCUGGUAGUCCGCACAGUAAACGAUGGACACCCGCGGUUUGGCCUAUAUGGCUGAGCCGCCAAGCGAAAGCGUUAAGUGUCCCACCUGGGGAGUACGCCGGCAACGGUGAAACUCAAAUGAAUUGACGGGG